GAGAUAGCUCAGUUGGUAGAGCAGAGGACUGAAAAUCCUCGUGUCGCUGGUUCGAUUCCGGCUCUGGG
rnacentral:tRNA from 1 species